GAUGAACGCUGGCGGCGUGCUUAACACAUGCAAGUCGAACGAAGCACUUUCUUACGAUCCCUUCGGGGUGACGAGUUAGUGACUGAGUGGCGGACGGGUGAGUAACGCGUGGGUAACCUGCCUUAUACAGGGGGAUAACAGUUGGAAACGGCUGCUAAUACCGCAUAAGCGCACAGUACCGCAUGGUACAGUGUGAAAAACUCCGGUGGUAUAAGAUGGACCCGCGUCUGAUUAGCUAGUUGGUGAGGUAACGGCCCACCAAGGCGACGAUCAGUAGCCGAUCUGAGAGGAUGAACGGCCACAUUGGGACUGAGACACGGCCCAGACUCCUACGGGAGGCAGCAGUGGGGAAUAUUGCACAAUGGGCGAAAGCCUGAUGCAGCGACGCCGCGUGAGUGAUGAAGUAUUUCGGUAUGUAAAGCUCUAUCAGCAGGGAAGAUAAUGACGU
rnacentral:rRNA from 1 species